UACGUAGGGUGCAAGCGUUGUCCGGAAUUAUUGGGCGUAAAGAGCUCGUAGGCGGUUUGUCGCGUCUGCUGUGAAAACUCGGGGCUUAACUCCGGGCCUGCAGUGGGUACGGGCAGACUAGAGUGCGGUAGGGGAGACUGGAAUUCCUGGUGUAGCGGUGAAAUGCGCAGAUAUCAGGAGGAACACCCGUGGCGAAAGCGGCUCUCUGGGACGGUACUGACGCUGAGACGCGAAAGCGUGGGGAACAAACAGG
rnacentral:rRNA from 1 species